rnacentral:rRNA from 1 species
UGCAAGUCGUGGGGCAGCAGGUGUAGCAAUACAUGCUGGCGACCGGCAAACGGGUGCGGAACACGUACGCAACCUUCCUUUAACUGGAGAAUAGCCCCUCGAAAGAGGGAUUAAUACUCCGUAACAUAUUGAUAAGGCAUCUUAUUAAUAUUAUAGCUCCGGCGGUUAAAGAUGGGCGUGCGCCUGAUUAGGUAGUUGGCGGGGUAACGGCCCACCAAGCCUUCGAUCAGUAACUGGUGUGAGAGCACGACCAGUCACACGGGCACUGAGACACGGGCCCGACUCCUACGGGAGGCAGCAGUAAGGAAUAUUGGUCAAUGGACGCAAGUCUGAACCAGCCAUGCCGCGUGGAGGAUUAAGGCCCUCUGGGUUGUAAACUCCUUUUAUCUGGGAAGAAAUGCUUUGAUUCUUCAAAGUUUGACGGUACCAGAGGAAUAAGCACCGGCUAACUCCGUGCCAGCAGCCGCGGUAAUACGGAGGGUGCAAGCGUUAUCCGGAUUCACUGGGUUUAAAGGGUGCGUAGGCGGGUAAGUAAGUCCGUGGUGAAAUCUCUGAGCUUAACUCAGAAACUGCCGUGGAUACUAUUUGCCUUGAAUAUUGUGGAGGUGAGCGGAAUAUGUCAUGUAGCGGUGAAAUGCUUAGAUAUGACAUAGAACACCAAUUGCGAAGGCAGUUCACUACACAAUUAUUGACGCUGAGGCACGAAAGCGUGGGGAUCAAACAGGAUUAGAUACCCUGGUAGUCCACGCCCUAAACGAUGAUUACUCGACAUCAGCGAUACACUGUUGGUGUCUGA